AGAGAGGGAGGAGGAUGUCCUUUGGGCUGCAUCUCUGCAGGGUGCCCUGUUGAUAACCUGGAUAAUUUAAUAUGAUUUUGGCCUUGGUUCUGUUCCCUGGCCCUUUUGGACUAUCAGAUUUCUUCAAGCAGCUAAAGCUGUAUCUGUGGAUUCAGGUCUGGAGGAGGAUGUCUUUUUUUUAUUGACAGCUCUUGAGGGCCUUUUGAGUUGUCAGCUUUGGUGACAGUGAUGCUAAUGGUGGCAUGAUCCACGAGGAGGAAUUGAGCAGGAAGGAGACAAAGGGGACGUGGUGAGGCAUGGAGCGGCGAGAGUGGAUUGCCAGCAGUGCUGUUUGUUUCUCGCUGGCAACAACAGACGUUAUGUUUUGACGAGUUAAUAAACAUCUCCCCCGGGAGCUGGGAGCUCCGGCAUGCUCUGCUGCGCUGUGUUUUACCUCUGCCUCGCACACUUUGCAGAGCAGGAGGCAUUUUUUUUCCCUGCUUCAAAAACCAGGUGCCUCACAUUUCAGCCUCCUCCACUUCUUGCAGGUCUGAACAGCCUCCCAGGAGCUGCUGAUGCUCCUGUGUUACCUGCCAGGCUCUGACCUAUCGCGAAAGCCCUUUCUGCUGUCCCCACAUCCUUUUCCAACCCCAAAUUAAACGGUGAUGGAGCCCUUGGGACAGACAGACUCAACCCCCACACCUGCUGCUCUCAGGGUGCCCCUCGUGAUGCACCGACCCAGAGCUGGCCACUGCCUGUUGGUAAGGAUGAAAUGACAGCUUGGACAUGAAGAUGGUGCACGGUCCAGGGAGCCAGGUUGUCGGUUUGAACGUGUAGAACAUUAUUGCUCGUGAAUUAUGGAUAGUGAUUGCACCUUCUGGACAAUAAAUUAUUGAGCUGACAUGCU
rnacentral:lncRNA from 1 species